ACCAGCGUGAUGCAGCGGUUUGAGUGCUGGAUUACAACUCUGGAGGCCAGGGUUCGAUUCCCAACUCGGCCA